GACGACGUCAAGUCAUCAUGGCCCUUACGACCAGGGCUACACACGUGCUACAAUGGUCGGUACAAAGGGUUGCUACCUCGCGAGAGGAUGCUAAUCUCAAAAAGCCGAUCGUAGUCCGGAUUGGAGUCUGCAACUCGACUCCAUGAAGUCGGAAUCGCUAGUAAUCGCGGAUCAGAAUGCCGCGGUGAAUACGUUCCCGGGCCUUGUACACACCGCCCGUCACACCAUGGGAGUUUGUUGCACCAGAAGUAGGUAGUCUAACCUUAGGGGGGACGCUUACCACGGUGUGGCAGAUGACUGGGGUGAAGUCGUAACAAGGUAGCCGUAGGGGAACCUGCGGCUGGAUCACCUCCUUA
rnacentral:rRNA from 1 species